AGAAAUUGGAACAGAUCAAUUAGUGGGAAUUCAUAUAAUGAUGAUGUCCACUUUGGCUCCAAAGUUUCAAAAGUUUGUAACCACUCAUAUAUUAUGGUGGAGAGGUCUUGCACAGUUUUUGGAAGUUAAAGGAUACAUCAUGGAAGGAGAUGACAAGCCUUCCUGGAUAUACCGUUCCGCCGUUGCCGAGUGUAUCCUUUAAGAGGUAGUGUCUCUUCUUUUGCAGAAUUAGGUUACUCUCUCUAUUCUUCUUAAAAGAAAUGAUUUGUCUCUUAAUAUGAAUGUUGUUCUAUAUGAGAGAACUUAGUGUUAUUCUAUUUGUUGAUGCAACUUAAUGUGAUGCAAUUUGUAGAAAGAUGUGUGGUUCAACAACUGUUUUUAUGUGUUUUACUUUUGU